rnacentral:sRNA from 1 species
AAAAAAAAACCAAAAC